rnacentral:sRNA from 22 species
GUCGUUCCUCGUUAGAAUGAGGCGUUUGCACAAACACAGGCUGCUACCCAGAAACGUCGAAAGACGCCAAUGCGGUCAACAGGUUCUGCCGGAUUAAGGCUUAACCUAAUGCAGCUGGCCCCAGGCCUACGUUGUGCUCUGCCAAAAUCCAACCAGAGGGGAAUUGG